rnacentral:lncRNA from 1 species
GUUUGGAAGAAUCACAUCAACAAAACGCUGUCAAAAACAAUGCCCGCCGUUGAAAGGGUGACCAGUUAGAGUGUAAAUAGUACACACUCAAACAGAUUUGAUAAUGUCUGCUAAAAAUUACACUUUGGCAGCAGCCAGGAAUCGGACGCGGAAACCUUCGUAAGCCAAACAGCAGCAGCGGAACGCCUUCGAAGAAGGGUGAUGCGGGUUCGGGACGAGGUGAAGUGCUCAAAAAGGACAAGGCGAGCUUCCUGCAGGAACUGCAGCUGUUCCACGACCGGAAUGGGAUGGGAGGUAGGAAUGUGGAUUCGCACCGGUUGUAUUCGGUGGUGGUGGCCCGGGAUUGGUGAUUGAAGGUCAAUUCCCGCGAGGACUGUAACGAUAUCAUCGAGGAGAUGGCGCUGCCGAAGAGUUGCGUGCACAACGAGAUUACGUUGAAGAAGAUAAACAUCCGGUUUUUGGACAAGUAAGAGACAGGUGAUUUUUACGGUGAGGAGAAGGAGCCGACGAAGAGGAGGACGACGAGAAGCGGGAUAAUCGGAGGUAACCAGAGCGGAUGUUGCACUCGGUGCUGGCGGUUUACAACACCUCAAAUAACCGCCCACAAAUGCUCAUCUCGCGACGGCGCAGCUCAAGCCGAAUGAACCCUGGACAGCGUGCAGAAAAAAUCUGUGUCAUUCUCGAAGGAGGAUGAAGUGCUCGAAAUUGAAUUCCGUUCCGAGGGCCUCAUCAACCUUUUGUUCCGGAUGCGCUUCCAGAAGCGGGAACUCCCCGUUCAGGCACUUCAUUUUCCAGCCAGGAAACGUCGAUCACCCUUGCCGAAUCUACAGCCAACUUCUCCAAACCUGUCCUGAUGAAGGCCGGCAACGUGACCAUCCUGUUCUCUACUUUGCUGUCGCGCGUCGAAACGGCCGUCUGGAACCGCCCAGCUUGGGGUCUUCGGAAGUGACCAGUGGCGUACCCUAAGAAUCGGUACAGCUUGGACUCGGAUUAUGGCCAGAAGCGUUAAAUACAAUAACAAAAUGUCUUAUUUAACAUACUGUUUUAAACUUUUAAAAAUAAAUAUAAA